rnacentral:rRNA from 1 species
AUUGAACGCUGGCGGCAGGCCUAACACAUGCAAGUCGAACGAGUGGCGGACGGGUGAGUAAUGUCUGGGAAACUGCCUGAUGGAGGGGGAUAACUACUGGAAACGGUAGCUAAUACCGCAUACCAUCAGAUGUGCCGAGGUGGGAUUAGCGAGUAGGUGGGGUAACGGCUCACCUGGGCGACGAUCCCUAGCUGGCCUGAGAGGAUGACCAGCCACACUGGAACUGAGACACGGUCCAGACUCCUACGGGAGGCAGCAGUGGGGAAUAUUGGACAAUGGGCGAAAGCCUGAUGCAGCCAUGCCGCGUGUGUGAAGAAGGUCUUCGGGUUGUAAAGCACUUUCAGCGGGGAGGCGUUACCCGCAGAAGAAGCACCGGCUAACUCCGUGCCAGCAGCCGCGGUAAUUC